rnacentral:rRNA from 1 species
UACGUAGGGUGCGAGCGUUGUCCGGAAUUAUUGGGCGUAAAGGGCUCGUAGGCGGUCUGUUGCGUCAGGAGUGAAAACUCGGGGCUUAACCCCGAGCCUGCUUCUGAUACGGGCAGACUAGAGGUAUGCAGGGGAGAACGGAAUUCCUGGUGUAGCGGUGAAAUGCGCAGAUAUCAGGAAGAACACCAAUGGCGAAGGCAGCUCUCUGGGACGGUACUGACGCUGAGACGCGAAAGCGUGGGGAGCGAACGGG